rnacentral:rRNA from 1 species
CGCGGCCUAUCAGCUUGUUGGCGGGGUAACGGCCCACCAAGGCAGCGACGGGUAGCUGGUGUGAGAGCAUGACCAGCCACACUGGGACUGAGACACGGCCCAGACUCCUACGGGAGGCAGCAGUGGGGAAUCUUGCGCAAUGGGCGAAAGCCUGACGCAGCGACGCCGCGUGAGGGAUGAAGGCCUUCGGGUUGUAAACCUCUUUCAGCGGGGACGAAGCGAAAGUGACGGUACCCGCAGAAGAAGCCCCGGCCAACUACGUGCCAGCAGCCGCGGUAAUACGUAGGGGGCUAGCGUUGUCCGGAUUUAUUGGGCGUAAAGAGCUCGUAGGCUGCUUCGUAAGUCGGACGUGAAAUCCCACGGCUUAACUGUGGGGGGCCGUUCGAAACUGCGAGGCUAGAGGCCGGUAGGGGGACAUGGAAUUCCUGGUGUAGCGGUGAAAUGCGCAGAUAUCAGGAGGAACACCGGUGGCGAAGGCGGUGUCCUGGGCCGGUCCUGACGCUGAGGAGCGAAAGCUGGGGGAGCAAACAGGAUUAGAUACCCUGGUAGUCCCAGCCGUAAACGAUGGGUGCUAGGUGUGGGAGGCUAUCGACGCUUUCCGUGCCGCAGCUAACGCAUUAAGCACCCCGCCUGGGGAGUACGG